GAGUUUGAUCAUGGCUCAGAUUGAACGCUGGCGGCAUGCCUUACACAUGCAAGUCGAACGGCAGCAUGAUCUAGCUUGCUAGAUUGAUGGCGAGUGGCGAACGGGUGAGUAAUACAUCGGAACGUGCCCUGUAGUGGGGAGUAACUAGUCGAAAGAUUAGCUAAUACCGCAUACGACCUGAGGGUGGAAAGUGGGGGACCGCAAGGCCUCAUGCUAUAGGAGCGGCCGAUGUCUGAUUAGCUAGUUGGUGGGGUAAAGGCCCACCAAGGCGACGAUCAGUAGCUGGUCUGAGAGGACGAUCAGCCACACUGGGACUGAGACACGGCCCAGACUCCUACGGGAGGCAGCAGUGGGGAAUUUUGGACAAUGGGCGAAAGCCUGAUCCAGCAAUGCCGCGUGUGUGAAGAAGGCCUCGGUUGUAAG
rnacentral:rRNA from 1 species